rnacentral:rRNA from 1 species
UACGUAGGGGGCGAGCGUUGUCCGGAUUUAUUGGGCGUAAAGAGCGUGUAGGCGGCCAGGUAGGUCUGCUGUGAAAACUCGAGGCUCAACCUCGAGACGUCGGCGGAAACCAUCUGGCUAGAGUCCGGAAGAGGAGAGUGGAAUUCCUGGUGUAGCGGUGAAAUGCGCAGAUAUCAGGAAGAACACCCGUGGCGAAGGCGGUUCUCUGGGACGGUACUGACGCUGAGACGCGAAAGUGUGGGGAGCGAACAGG